AGGCAGUUGGGCGUGGCAACGGACGCUAUCUGAAAGCCACGCCCACUCGGGGCUGGAGGGCUGGGCUUCCUAACGGAAGCGCACCCUUCAAGUCCUGGAACACUGACUCUUCCUUCUGGCUGCUUUGGGGUUGCGGAAUGGAAAGACCCUCCCCGGAUGAGGGCCUCCUGCGUUUAGAAACCAGAGGAUUGGAGCGGCCGUAGGUACGCUGAGGAAGGCAGCGGUUCCCUGCGUUGAGAUCCGUGCCGCGAGGAGCUCUCUGCACAGCCGUCGCCGCUGCAGAGGCCCCAGGCUCGGGUCUGCAGGGCAGUGCGUGUCCCCAUGUGACCCGCGUGCUGCGGGGACCUAAGGGCACGUCUGGGAGCUGCCACCUCUGCAGAGGACGCGAGUCUGCAAGGCCUGCGCGACGCUGACACCUCGGGUCUGCAUCCGUGCGGGGCUAGAACUCAAGAGAAGCACCGCUUUUGUCGCCUUCCUAGAGGCGGGGGGACUAGAGGUGGCCAGCCUCUGUCUGCACCGCAGGAUGCGGAACCGUCGCCCAGCAUCUUCCCCUCGGCGUUCCGAGGGGACGGAACGACCCCGGCUUUGCAGCUCAGGUGAUGGAAAACAGGAACGCCUCACGGAGGAGGAAGGGAAGCGCCAAGGUCACCGGGAGUUUUAGGUCAAACCAAGAAACGAAGGAAGUCAAGUGUAAGGGCUGCGGUCCUCCGUCCUUCGGUGACCCCGACAGAUGGACAGAUGGAGGGCGAGCUCCGAGUUUAGCGCACUAUACGAAAGUGGCCUUGGGAGAAAUAACUUCGUUUAGUGUUACAACCUUAAAAAUCCAAACAUGAAACGGAAGGGAAACAGGUCUCACUACGAAGCCCUGGCUGGCCUGGAUCUCACUAUGCACUUCUGGCUAGUUUGAAACUCACUGUGGAGACCAGGCUAGCCUCAAACUCACAGAGAUCCACCCGAGUCUGCUGCCCAAGAGCUGGAAUUAAGGGCAUCAUCCUACUGUGCAGACCUGCUAUCUUGUUUAUUCAGUGCACUGGUUGCUCUUCAAGAAGACCCAGAUUCUAUUCCCUGCACCCCCCAUAAUGGCUCAUAACAAUGGAAUUCCAGUUCCAAGAGGUCUGAAGCCACCUGGCCGUGAGGGCACUAGACAUGCAUGUGGUACACGGACAUACAUGCAGCCCUGGCUGUCCUAGAACAAGCUCUGUAGACCAGGCUGACCUCAAACUCAGGAAGCCUCAAAAAAGCCUAGCAGAACACGGUAUGUACUUACUAAAUAAGUUCAGAAUAUUCAAGAUUCAAUUCAUAGACCAUAUCAAGCCCAAGAAGGAAGACCAAAAUGUGAAUGCUUCAGUGCUUCUUAGAAGGGAGAACAAAAUACUUAUAGGAGGAAAUAUGGAGACACAGUGUGGAACAGACACUGAAGUCUCUGGGCCAUCCAGAGACUGCCCCACCUGGGGAUCCAUCCCAUAUACAGCCACCAAACCCAAAUGAUAUUGUGGAU